CAGCCGCCGCGGUAAUACCGGCGGCCCGAGUGGUGGCCACUAUUAUUGGGCUUAAAGCGUCCGUAGCCGGGUUGGGAAGUCCUCCGGGAAAUCUGGCCGCUUAACGGUCAGAAUGCCGGAGGAUACCCCCAGCCUAGGGAGCGGGAGAGGCCGAGGGUAUUCCCGGAGUAGGGGUGAAAUCCUAUAAUCCCGGGAGGACCACCUGUGGCGAAGGCGCUCGGCUGGAACGCGUCCGACGGUGAGGGACGAAGGCCAGGGGAGCAAACCGGAUUAGAUACCCGGGUAGUCCUGGCUGUAAACGAUGCGGACUUUGUGUCGGACAAGCUAUGAGCUUGUCCGGUGCCGGAGGGAAACCGUUAAGUCCGCCGCCUGGGGAGUACGGCCGCAAGGCUGAAACUUAAAGGAAUUGGCGGG
rnacentral:rRNA from 1 species